ACCAAGAUCGCGUGGAAAU
rnacentral:snRNA from 1 species